AGUUUUGGCUGGUCCUCAUAAGUAAAACUGCUACCUUUUUACAAAAACCGCUAAAAGGUUUCUUACUUCAGUAAGGUUAAGGUUUGGGUUAGGUUUAGGUGUAGCACAGCUGACAUAAUAUUGUCAGUGAAAGGUCCUCACAAGGAUAGUAAGACAACCGUGCGUGUGUGUGUGUGUUUGUGUAUGAGGUGACCUGCCUAGUGCUGGAGCUUUUCGAAGUUUUAUUUCUCUCACAAUUCCAAACGAGGAAAAAGCGCGAAUGCUAAUCACAGCACAUGAGCAGUGUGCAGUCCGCGGUUCUGUGCUGUGUGACUCUGCGCCCCUUUCAAAGGUCGCCUGGCUGUGCUAAUGAGAUGGACGUCACGAGCAUAAACGCACACGAGCACCUUCCUUUCAAUACCUGACGGGUAGUCUAGCCUUUCAAAGUUCUUCUUCUGAGGAUACAAACCCUUUCUGGCACUCUCAGCCUGCAAUGUACCAGCAGAAAGCGCAGUCGGGGUGUGUGAGAGAAACAGUAGCUACACUGCUGAAGGCCAAGCCAGAGCGACAGCCAGCUGGAUCAGAGGCCAAACUGGCCCCCUUUCAAUAUAUCUUGUGUGCAGCCACUUCUCCAGCUGUCAAAUUGCAAGAGGAAACUCUCACGUACCUCAACCAGGGUCAGUCCUACGAAAUCCGUAUGCUUAACCUAAAACUGUUGGAGUGUACACAUGUAAGCAGCAAAUGGGUAAAGAGCACUGUCCGUGUAGUGUUUCAUGAUCGGCGCCUGCAAUACAGCGAGUACCAGCAGCUGGAGGGAUGGAGCUGGAACCGGCCAGGAGACAGAAUUCUGGAUCUUGAUACUACCCUCUCUGUGGGGAUAAUAGAGCCUCAAGCUAAUCCACUGCAGCUCAACUCUAUUGAGUUCCUCUGGGAUCCUGUAAAAAAUGCUUCAAUAUUUAUUCAAGUAAACUGUAUUAGCACUGAGUUUACACCCAGGAAACAUGGCGGAGAGAAGGGAGUUCCCUUCCGGAUUCAGGUAGAUACUUUCAUACAGAAUGAACAUGGAGAAUACCUGGAGCAUGUGCACUCUUGCAGCUGCCAAAUCAAAGUCUUCAAGCCAAAAGGAGCAAAUCGCAGGCUGAAGACAGACAGAGAGAAAAUUGAGAAAAAGAGUCUUCAAGACAGAGAAAAAUAUCAACCAUCCUUUGAAACUACUAUACUUACUGAGGUUGCACACAUCAGUGAAGGAGGCAAAUAUUUCAUCCUCUUCUGCAGUGUUCUCCCUGGCCUGAUGGUGCAUCCAUCAGCAGUGUUAGCAGCAGUCUGUCUCCCAUGUGCCACAUCUCAACUGCUCACGACUUCACAGAUGGAUGAUAGAGACUGCUCUCCGAACCAGCGGAGGGAGCUACUCCUGCCCAGCUGCUCUGCUCAGCUUGUGCCAUCACUCUCCCCUCAGGAAGCACAGGAGUGGCUCCACCGGAACAGGUUCUCAUCUUUCUGUAGACUUUUCUCCAACUUCUCAGGUGCUGAUUUGGUUAAGAUGAGCAGAAAUGACUUUGUUCAGAUCUGCGGUCCUGCUGAUGGGAUCCGCCUGUUUAACGCCAUUAAAGGAAGGUGUAUUCAGCCACGACUCACAGUGUAUGUUUCCCUACAGAAGAACAAAAAUCAGCCAAACAGCAAGCCAUGCAGUGAUGAUGUGUACCAUGCCUUGUCCUUGGAGCACUUAACUCUUUUUGAGCUCACAGAGAAGAUAGCAAGUCUAUACAGUGUUCCAGUGCAGCAAAUCUGCCAUGUUUACAGACAAGGGCCAAUGGGGAUAUACGUCCUGGUUUCAGAUGAGGUGAGGUGGCAGAGCUCAUGUCCCAGUGAACUAGACCAGUCAGGACAUUACGCUGAUAACCUGAUAACAAAGAAUGAUGUGACAAAUGGUAAAGAAUUUCACAGAGGAAACAAGAUUCAUAAUAAGUGCUCUAAAAGUAGAUGACUGUAUCUGUUUCUCAGUGAUGAUGGAUGAAAGUAACGAGGGGUACCAUGUUGUACUGAAGUGACCGAAGAUCACAUCUACAGGAACAUUUCAGGACUGGUGUGCUGAAUAUGACGCAUUAAACAAUGCCCCAUGUCCACAUAAUUCACAGUUCAAAGCAGAGAAACGCUUUUCUUUUUACAGUGCUCAGGUCAGCUGUGCUGUUCAUUGCUUAUUGUCUUCUGAAAAGCUGUAUAUGUGACUGAGGAGGAGUACUGUAACAUACUGCUGAUUUUUACUUUGUGGUUUGUUUGUGUUUUGUUUUCCUCCGUUCCAUUCCGUUACAGUUAUCCUUGUGGCCUGUGAGGAAAAUCUUCAAAAGAAACAAUUCUGUAGCUCUUUUAACUUACUGUAAUUAUUAGUGUUAGCAAUUAAUUUUUAUUACAAACACUGCAUUCUAAAUCAAAUGAACACUAUAACAUUUGUGUGCUAGGUGUAUGUAUGUUUUAUUAAGAUUAUAUUUUAGAGGUCAUUAGUACAUUUAUUUAUAAAACAGUUCUUAAAGCAGUUGUUACUGUUCAAAGGCUUAGGCCAUAUUGUAGCUUGUAUAUUUACACCAUGCUUUUUGAUCCUAUUGUUUGCUAUGUUCACCAAUGUAACUUUACUGAUUUUAAAAUAAAAUAUUUUGCUCUGUA